rnacentral:rRNA from 1 species
GUUUGAUCCUGGCUCAGAACGAACGCUGGCGGCAUGCCUCAUACAUGCAAGUCGAACGCAGGCUUCGGCCUGAGUGGCGCACGGGUGAGUAGCGCGUGGGAACCUACCCUUUUGUGGGGGAUAACCGAGGGAGACUUCGGCUAAUACCGCAUACGCCGGGUAACCGGGAAAGAUUUAUCGCAGAAGGAUGGGCCCGCGUCGGAUUAGCUAGUUGGUGGGGUAACGGCCUACCAAGGCUACGAUCCGUAGCUGGUCUGAGAGGAUGAUCAGCCACACUGGGACUGAGACACGGCCCAGACUCCUACGGGAGGCAGCAGUAGGGAAUAUUGGACAAUGGGCGAAAGCCUGAUCCAGCAAUGCCGCGUGAGUGAGGAAGGCCCUAGGGUUGUAAAGCUCUUUCGGCGGGGACGAUGAUGACGGUACCCGCAGAAGAAGCCCCGGCUAACUUCGUGCCACCAGCCGCGGUAAU